UACUUAACACAUGCAAGUCGAACGAGGAUCACGGUGUGAGCAAUCAUAUUGUGGUCCGAGUGGCGCACGGGUGAAUAACACGUGGGUAACCUGCCCUUGAGUCUGGGAUACCCCCUCGAAAGGGGGGCUAAUACCGGAUACGUUCCUUGGGUCGACAGAUCCGGGGAGGAAAGGUGGCGCAAGCUGCCGCUCUUGGAGGGGCUCGCGGCCUAUCAGCUAGUUGGCGGGGUAACGGCCCACCAAGGCUUUGACGGGUAGCUGGUCUGAGAGGACGACCAGCCACACGGGGACUGAGACACGGCCCCGACUCCUACGGGAGGCAGCAGUGGGGAAUUUUCCGCAAUGGGCGAAAGCCUGACGGAGUGACGCCGCGUGUGGGACGAAGGCCUUCGGGUCGUAAACCAC
rnacentral:rRNA from 1 species